AUUACAAUACCAAAACAAAAAACAAACAAACAAAAAAUUAAAAGACACAGCCCUAACUGAAUGGGCAUGUUCGCCAUGCCCCGUGAACUUUGUACCCUCCUUCCAAUGAGUCUGCUCAUGUCAUCCACCUGCAUGGAGCAUAACCUUCAACUUCAUAUCUUAACUUCACAUCAGAACUCCUGCCCUCUUUGCAGUUCCAUUCAAAUAUCACCUUCUCCUUGACACUUCUUAGGUUCCAAAGUGAUCCUUCAAACUCAGAAGUGGACAAAACAGUCUAGCCUUUCUGGAGAAAUAUGAAUAUUAAAAGCCUUAAAAACACUGGAUGUGAGAGUGCACGCCUGUAUUCCCAGCAAUCUGGGAGACUGAGGCAGGAGGAUGGCAAGUUCAAGGCCAGUCUGAGCAACUUAGUGAGACCCUGUCUCAAAAUGAAGAAUAAAAAUGUUCAUGUACACAGGGAAAGAUCAAAUAUAUGGUAAAAAUAACAUGCAUUGGUGCAAGAAUGAAAAAACAUCACUUUUUCUAGUGGUUUUGUUUGUUUGGUUUUUUUGUUUUGUUUUGUUUUGUUUUUUGGUCCUUGGGAUUGAACUCAGGGGUACUCCAUCACUGAGCCACCUCCC
rnacentral:lncRNA from 1 species